GAUGAACGCUGGCGGCGUGCCUAAUACAUGCAAGUCGAGCGAACAGACGAGGAGCUUGCUCCUCUGACGUUAGCGGCGGACGGGUGAGUAACACGUGGAUAACCUACCUAUAAGACUGGGAUAACUUCGGGAAACCGGAGCUAAUACCGGAUAAUAUAUUGAACCGCAUGGUUCAAUAGUGAAAGACGGUUUUGCUGUCACUUAUAGAUGGAUCCGCGCCGCAUUAGCUAGUUGGUAGGGUAACGGCCUACCAAGGCAACGAUGAGUAGCCGACCUGAGAGGACGACCAGCCACACUGGAACUGAGACACGGCCCAGACUCCUACGGGAGGCAGCAGUGGGGAAUUUUGGACAAUGGGCGAAAGCUUGACGCAGCAACGCCGCGUGUGUGAAGAAGGCCUUCGGGUCGUAAAGCACUGUUGUCCGGAAAGAAAAACUUGGCAAUAAUACGGGCGGGUGAUGACGGUACCGGAAGAAUAAGCACCGGCUAACUACGUG
rnacentral:rRNA from 1 species